AUGGAGAGGAGAAGGAACUGGAUGUCUGAAACUACAGUCAGACAUCAGAGAGAAGCAGCUUGACUUCAGAGGGACAGCUUCACAGUGUAGCUUCGAAGAGGAGCCAGGCUGGUGAGGGCCGGACUCCAGGGGAAGAUUAUUUUCUGGUUACAUCCUCUUUUCAGCUCCCCUUCCUGCUGAGGGCCAGUUUCACUGGCAAUAAAAUCCCCCACAAUUACCAUCUUCAAUUUGUUCAUGUGACCUCAUUCCUCCUGGACACAGGGCAAGAACUCAGGGGCCACAAGUGUGGGUGCUAACGUCUGUCACACUGACUCUCUCCACUGAGCUGUUAACACUGAAGCCAUCUGUGGAUGGCAAAGCUAAAGGGGCAGUGUAACACUUCCUCUGGGGCUUCAGGGUUGGUGGGCACUCUCUCCUAG
rnacentral:lncRNA from 10 species